UAUUGAAACAGUUAUGAGCUCCUCAUCUAGGGCAGCUUUGCGUCGGGAAAUAGAGGCGCAUUUAGGAGGCCCUCCUAAUGAUCCAACUAGAUGUGUUACGGAUUGCAAGGUCUGGCCUAAAGAUGUAGAGCCACCCUAUUGUUACUGCCAGAUGCGUUGUGUUCCCAACAUAUCUCGUGAGUACGAGACUUUUGGCCAGAGGUAUUGGUCUUAUAAGAAUAUUGAGGAAGUCCAAAAGUCGGGUGCAAUAUCUCAGGAGACAAAUACUCAUUUUUGUCAUUUCCAUGAGUGGAUUGACACAUCUAUCAGUCGUCGUGAUCAGGAAUAUUUGGAGUGGUUGAAGAAGGUGGAUGAUGAUGUACGCAAGUCCGGCAUUGACAAUGUAAAACGUGGCAAUGGUAGUGGCCGUGAAUGAUGGAUGUCAUAGUGGUCCGUUUCAUUCUGAUCGGUCCUGCUGUCUUGAAUAAGUUACGUUCCUUUAUGACCAAUAUGUUGCGUGUUUGUUUCGGAAGCCUCUUCUGGCUCCCUAUGUAAUAUUUUUUUUCUGUGUCCUUUGUAUGUGUACUUGUACUUCUGAAAGUUGUUCUCGUUCGUAAUAAAACCGUGCAUCGUUUGCUGAAUA